AGUCGACGGCAGCACGGGAGCAAUCCUGGUGGCGAGUGGCGAACGGGUGAGUAAUAUAUCGGAACGUGCCCAGUCGUGGGGGAUAACGCAGCGAAAGCUGUGCUAAUACCGCAUACGAUCUACGGAUGAAAGCGGGGGAUCGCAAGACCUCGCGCGAUUGGAGCGGCCGAUAUCAGAUUAGCUAGUUGGUGGGGUAAAGGCCCACCAAGGCGACGAUCUGUAGCUGGUCUGAGAGGACGACCAGCCACACUGGAACUGAGACACGGUCCAGACUCCUACGGGAGGCAGCAGUGGGGAAUUUUGGACAAUGGGCGCAAGCCUGAUCCAGCAAUGCCGCGUGCAGGAUGAAGGCCUUCGGGUUGUAAACUGCUUUUGUACGGAGCGAAACGGCUCUCUCUAAUACAGGGGGCUAAUGACGGUACCGUAAGAAUAAGCACCGGCCAACUACGUGCCAGCAGCCGCGGUAAUACGUAGGGUGCAAGCGUUAAUCGGAAUUACUGGGCGUAAAGCGUGCGCAGGCGGUUAUAUAAGACAGAUGUGAAAUCCCCGGGCUCAACCUGGGACCUGCAUUUGUGACUGUAUGGCUGGAGUGCGGCAGAGGGGGAUGGAAUUCCGCGUGUAGCAGUGAAAUGCGUAAUAUGCGGAGGAACACCGAUGGCGAAGGCAAUCCCCUGGGCCUGCACUGACGCUCAUGCACGAAAGCGUGGGGAGCAAACAGGAUUUAGAUA
rnacentral:rRNA from 1 species